rnacentral:rRNA from 1 species
UAGGGAAUAUUGCGCAAUGGGGGAAACCCUGACGCAGCGACGCCGCGUGGGUGAUGAAGGCUUUCGGGUCGUAAAGCCCUGUCGAGUGGGACGAAAGACGAUAUGGCUAAUAUCCAUGUCGAGUGACGGUACCACUAAAGGAAGCACCGGCUAACUACGUGCCAGCAGCCGCGGUAAUACGUAGGGUGCAAGCGUUGCUCGGAAUCAUUGGGCGUAAAGAGCGUGUAGGUGGCUAGAUAAGUCAGAUGUGAAAUCCCUCGGCUCAACCGAGGAAGUGCAUUUGAUACUGGCUGUCUCGAGGUCGAGAGAGGUUGGUGGAAUUCCUAGUGUAGAGGUGAAAUUCGUAGAUAUUAGGAAGAACACCAGUGGCGAAGGCGGCUCACUGGUCCGGUACUGACGCUGAGGUGCGAAAGCGUGGGGAGCAAACAGGAUUAGAUACCCUUGUAGUCCCUGAGCGGGCUGGCAAGGCGCAU